AUCAGGGAGGAACAGCCUUUUCUCCAGGCUGCCUCCUCCUGACUCUAGCGCCACCUACUGGCUGUUCACCAGAGGUGGAGAAAGAACUCAAACAAUGUACUGAAGUAAAAGUACAAAUAAACAGACAAAAAUGUUCUCUAGUAAAAGAACCACAUUAACAUUUUUACUUGAGCAAAUGUAAGAAAGCAUGAAAAAUAUGUUUAAUAUCUGCUGAAGUUGUUUUAAAACCUGACAAACGAGCCUCAUGGGAACCAAUAUUCUAAUUUAUUGAAUAUGACUGUAAAUGUAAAUAUGAGAUGGAGAUUAUUCACAUUAAUUCAGUAACCAGGAUGUGGAGGAGUUUAACGUUACUGGGACAUUCAUGGCAGGAGACGCUGCGCUCCAUGCGCCCCGACCGCAGUAAUCAAUGUUACUGCCAGUUCAGCUGCUUACAACUAUUUAAUUGUUUUAUUUAUUGCAGUCGAUUUAAACUAGAAGCUGGUAAGAUUACAUAAAACUUCUCUAACCUAAAUCAAUUUAACAUCCAAAACUCAGACAGCGUUUAGCAGCUUAACUUUCCUCGAUAUGUUUUUCAGAUUUGAUGGUGAAUUUUUGAAAGCUAGCAGUUCAUGAUAUCAGGGAGGCAAAGGCGGCACCAGAAUCAUUGAUUACUUUCAAACUAACCAACAAAUCAAAAA